GAUGAACGCUGGCGGCGUGCCUAAUACAUGCAAGUCGAGCGAACGGACGAGAAUCUUGCUUCUCUGACGUUAGCGGCGGACGGGUGAGUAACACGUGUAUAACCUACCUAUAAGACUGGGAUAACUUCGGGAAACCGGAGCUAACACCGUAUAAUAUUUUGAACCGCAUGGUUCAAAAGUGAAAGACGGUCUUGCUGUCACUUAUAGAUGGAUCCGCGCUGCAUUAGCUAGUUGGUAAGGUAACGGGUUAUCAAGGCAACGAUGCAUAGCCGAACUGAGAGAGUGAUCGGCCACACUGGAACUGAGACACGGUCAAGACUCCUGCGAGAGGCAGCAGUAGGGAAUCUUCCGCAAUGGGCGAGAGCCUGACGGAGCAGCGCCGCGUGAGUGGUGGAGGUCUUCGGAUCGUAAAACUCUGUUAUUAGGGGAGAACAUAUGUGUAAGUAACUGUGCACAUCUUGACGGUAACUAGUCAGAAAGCCACGGCUAACUACGUG
rnacentral:rRNA from 1 species